rnacentral:rRNA from 1 species
ACGGGAGUAGACAACAGGGAUUGCCCCAGUAACGGCGAGUGAAGCGGCAACAGCUCAAAUUUGAAAUCUGGCUCUCAGGGCCCGAGUUGUAAUUUGUAGAGGAUGCUUUUGGCGAGGUGCCUUCCGAGUUCCCUGGAACGGGACGCCACAGAGGGUGAGAGCCCCGUAUGGUCGGACACCGAGCCUCUGUAAAGCUCCUUCGACGAGUCGAGUAGUUUGGGAAUGCUGCUCAAAAUGGGAGGUAUAUGUCUUCUAAAGCUAAAUAUUGGCCAGAGACCGAUAGCGCACAAGUAGAGUGAUCGAAAGAUGAAAAGCACUUUGAAAAGAGGGUUAAAAAGUACGUGAAAUUGUUGAAAGGGAAGCGCCUAUGACCAGACUUGCGCCCGGUGAAUCACCCAGCGUUCUCGCUGGUGCACUUUGCCGGGCACAGGCCAGCAUCAGUUCAGCGCGGGGGAGAAAGGCUUCGGGAAUGUGGCUCCCUCGGGAGUGUUAUAGCCCGCUGCGUAAUGCCCUGCGCCGGACUGAGGUACGCGCAUUGCAAGGAUGCUGGCGUAAUGGUCAUCAGCGACCCGUCUUGAAACACGGACCAAGGAGUCGUCUUCGUAUGCGAGUGUUCGGGUGUCAAACCCCUACGCGUAAUGAAAGUGAACGCAGGUGAGAGCUUCGGCGCAUCACCGACCGAUCCUGAUGUUCUCGGAUGGAUUUGAGUAAGAGCAUACGGGGCCGGACCCGAAAGAAGGUGAACUAUGCCUGUAUAGGGUGAAGCCAGAGGAAACUCUGGUGGAGGCUCGCAGCGGUUCUGACGUGCGAAUCGAUCGUCAAAUAUGGGCAUGGGGGCGAGAGACUAAUCGAACCUUCUAGUAGCUGGUUUCCGCCGAGUCUCCUAGCUGAGAGUUUAGCACCCACCCGCGAGGG